AGGGGUGAAAUCUACUCGAAUUUGCUUUGGGAGCAGGGUGUCGGAGGUUCAAAUCCUCUCGCCCCGACCA
rnacentral:tRNA from 1 species